rnacentral:ncRNA from 1 species
UUGAGCCUAGUGCGAUGAAAAUUGCCCGCUAGGAUCUUAAGGGGGCACGACCCAGCAAUGAGUCGUGCCUACCCGAC